CCUACGGGAGGCAGCAGUGGGGAAUAUUGCACAAUGGGGGAAACCCUGAUGCAGCGACGCCGCGUGAGUGAAGAAGUAUUUCGGUAUCGAAAGCCCUAUCAGCAGGGAAGAAAAUGACGGUACCUGAUUAAGAAGCCCCGGCUAACUACGUGCCAGCAGCCGCGGUACUACGUAGGGGGCAAGCGUUAUCCGGAUUUACUGGGUGUAAAGGGAGCGUAGACGGCAGCACAAGUCUGGAGUGAAAGGCCGGGGCUUAACCCCGGAACUGCUUUGGAAACUGUGCAGCUAGAGUGCAGGAGAGGUAAGUGGAAUGCGUGGUGUAGCGGUGAAAUGCGUAGAUAUUAGGAGGAACACCAGUGGCGAAGGCGGCUUACUGGACUGUAACUGACGUUGAGGCUCGAAAGCGUGGGGAGCAAACAGGAUUAGAUACCCUGGUAGUC
rnacentral:rRNA from 1 species